CGUUCCCCAGACGGCCGGCCUUUGGAGAUUGUUAUUCGCCAAUUCUCCUCGUCUCUACGGCCAGCUGGUUUCUUUAGUGAGUGCAGCUGUGGGCCAUUUUAGCAGCUCGGGAGUAAACUACACUUGGUAAUGGCCAGGACGCAGCUGGAUGCAACGCGGUUCACAGUAUCACGAUCACAGAUUGUUUUACAGCGGGUGCCUGGCAGAGGCGAAGCUACAGGCGUGCUUCUUGUGCCAGAGGGGAGUUUCUUUUCUCUCAUAGGAUAGUUAUUUUCUUCUUUUCUUUUUGGUUUUUUAAGUUCUCUUUCAGAAUCAGUGGUGGCAUCGCAGGUUCGAUCCCUACACUUGCUUUAGCACCUUCGUUUUGCAGCUCUGAUCUUCUGAACGUGCCACAGUCUGCUACCGCCGCACAGGAAUGUGUAAACAACACUCUUACCGAUUUGACCUGCUUGGAUUGAUACAUAUCUCAUAUCUCUGGGAGGCGUCCAGGAGGCUGCAGUGGUACUAUAACCACGUGAAAGGAGUCUCGAAAUGAUUGUAAGAACAAACAAGCUUGGCAUGCUCGAGUAAAAGAGCGAAGGAAAUAUGCUUCCAUGAUGACCACAGAAUGUAAGUUACAUUACACUACAUGGUGGCGGUACUCAACUCCAACCUCGAGUAAGAUCAUGUUUGUUUGAAAUAGUUUCAUUUUUCUCGUAUCGGAAGAACUUUUUUGUUUUUAGUAGCAGCAGACAACAAGAAAUUACUGGGAGCCACUACGGAAAGCUGAAAACUUUCCUGUAGAGUGUCCGUGUCCUCAUGCGAUGAUGGCCUCCACCGCUUCUCGGGAAUGUAAGAAAAGAAAAAAACCAACUUUCGAGGCGGAAUCUGUAGAAUCGUGGAAACGUAAGGAAUCGGAACACGAACGCUGACCGAAAGCGAGACAUUUUAACCAGGAGCAUUCCAGUCCUGGAGAAGCGAACAAGUCUCCACGGGACAGCGAGACAGGGGAGAGCUGGUCAGAGAAAUGGUUUCCCGUGAAUCCGAAUGUUGACUAAAACUCCAGAAUCUCGUCACUUAUGCAUUGGUGAGUGACGCUAGCAGGGGCCACUGGAAUCGAUCUCUCUUUCCGGAUUCAAAGAAAACGGCUCGCUCCGGGACCUUCGCAACUUCACCAACUUAGUGAGUCCUUACUUUACUUCCCUACUAAUGAGCUCGAUUCAUUCCGCAGGCGAGAGAAUGCUUUCCUGCCUGGAAAACUUCACGAGGAACUGGAAAAAACCAGUGUGGCUUUGAUUUUCUAACGAGCCACUUCAACACAGCCUUAAAUGCGGACGUUAACGAAGAUGAUAGGCUUCCAGACAAAUGUUUUCCAAUCGCUGAGCCCAAGAGGUGGCCGAACGGCAUCGUUGAAACCGAUGGGAAACGACGAGCGGUCCAGUUGCAAAGGAAAAGCUUGACCCGUGGAUGGUGUCCCUUCAACCGUUCGCAUAGGAUACUACGUGGAACUCGGGCACUCGACAUUUGGAUUCCAGCUCAAGCCUAUGAGCGCGCACCGGCAGCUCGCGGGGGACGAUGAACUAGGCUGAUGUCUGAGUGCGAUACUUUAUUCCUGAUAACCUGGGAGGGACCCUACUACUUUUUGGCAGCAGCACGUACUUAGGACGCUGAUGAAGAGCACCUUCCCUUCGGCUGUCGUCGAUCAUGUUCUCUGGUCCACACUGUUCAAGGUACUUAUUCUUACUAGUCUGGGAAAGAGAGGGAGAGAUUUCGUCCACUUCUCUCGUGAGUCGUGAAAGCAGCCGUCGUCAUAUCGGUCCUGAACCUGUGCCAUUUAUUCCCGCGAACAAGUGUCUGCAUGACCCUCUUGACGAGCAGCGGCAUCGUUGCUAAUAGUCAACAUCGUCGUCGAAUCUUUGUUUUCCUUUGCUUGCCUUAUACUUUAUGAUCUCUUCCUUGUUGUUUCUUCUUGCUCAUUGACGUCUUGCCUCACUAGCAACUUCCAGCUUUCCUUUUUGUC